rnacentral:rRNA from 1 species
CUACGGGUGGCAGCAGUGAGGAAUAUUGCACAAUGGGGGGAACCCUGAUGCAGCAACGCCGCGUGGAGGAUGACGCAUUUCGGUGUGUAAACUCCUCUUAUAUGUCAAGAAAAUGACGGUAGCAUAUGAAUAAGCACCGGCUAACUCCGUGCCAGCAGCCGCGGUAGUACGGAGGGUGCAAGCGUUACUCGGAAUCACUGGGCGUAAAGGACGCGUAGGCGGGUUGGAAAGUCAGGUGUGAAAUCCUACAGCUUAACUGUAGAACUGCACUUGAAACUUCUAAUCUAGAGUAUGGGAGGGGGAGAUGGAAUUAGUGGUGUAGGGGUAAAAUCCGUAGAUAUCACUAGGAAUACCUAAAGCGAAGGCGAUCUCCUGGAACAUUACUGACGCUAAGGCGUGAAAGCGUGGGGAGCAAACAGGAUUAGAUACCCGGGUAGUC